GGGCCCGUAGCUCAACCUGGUAGAGCGCCGCCCUUGCAAGGCGGAGGCUUCGGGUUCGAAUCCCGACGGGUCCA
rnacentral:tRNA from 1 species